rnacentral:rRNA from 1 species
UACGUAGGUGGCAAGCGUUAUCCGGAAUUAUUGGGCGUAAAGCGCGCGCAGGUGGUUUCUUAAGUCUGAUGUGAAAGCCCACGGCUCAACCGUGGAGGGUCAUUGGAAACUGGGAGACUUGAGUGCAGAAGAGGAAAGUGGAAUUCCAUGUGUAGCGGUGAAAUGCGUAGAUAUUGGGAAGAACACCGGUGGCGUAGGCGACUAGCUGGGCUGUAACUGACGCUGAGGAACGAAAGCCAGGGGAGCGAAUGGG